ensembl:lncRNA
GUUUUUUUUAUUAUUAUUAUUAUUUAUUUCUUCAGAAUUUAUUCAGAUUCAAUUGCUUCUUCUUUGCUGUCUCUACAUUGUGACCAAAAGCUUGCUAAAGCAAGUUGAGCUGAUAAGAAAGUUUGCAAGUUAACCUCCUAAAUGAAUGUGCCAUGUGUGUCUAAUUGCUAAUUAGCAAAUGCUAAUUAGCAUAUACACCUUAGCCUGUAUCUUCAAUAUCUUCUGCAGAUGUGAAGAAUCCCAUCCUGUUCUCUGUGAAAGAAGUAGCACUCAGCACCAAGCUCAUAGACUUUCUAUGGAGAAGAUAUGCUGGAGCCUGCACCGUGGCGGUGGGUUUUCCCACCCCGUGGGGAGCACCAGAAGAGGAACGAGCUCUACUCCUCCUCAUCCUUACCACAUGGUUGCCUCCAUCCUCUUCCCCUUCACAGGGAGAUCCAUGACUGCUGUGGCAUCACCCCUGGGGAUGCAGACCCCAGUCAGAGAGCUCCCCAACGUGUCAUGCAAGCCAGCAGGAGUGUCUGCCUCUGCUCAGGAAGGGCUAAGAACCAGAAUAGCAAGGGUAUUUCAGGUCAGGCCUGAGGCGAAUUAGCAGACAAGUUGUGAAGCUUACACAACAUGUGGCCACAUUAUGUGUGGCUCUAGUCAGCACUAAUAGCCUGUCAUUGAGCUCCAUGUUUAAACAAUUUGAGCAAACAGCAAACACAGAAGAUGGGAGGGGGGGAAAGGCCUUCGAGGAAUGAGAAAGAUCAGACUGCUCAGUAUACUUGGCAAGCAAGUAUUGCAGCGGUGAGGAGAGCAGAGUAACUGCUGGACAGGCAGAGGUGUGCCCGAGUUCAUGCCAUGCAAAAGUAACGUAACGCGAAACUAAGGAUACAAAAAUAAGUCAUCCAGUUUUAAAAUUCACUCAGCCAGCAAUUUUUAGAGCUACUUAGGAAAUUGAUUGUUGGUUUAGGCUGUGCCUGAUCAUGUGAAUUAUCUGAGAGAAAAAAAUAUGGUUUUGGUUUAGCAGCAACAAAACCAAAAUGGGGGGAAGGAAGAAAAAGAAAAACAAGUUUUAGUGGCAACGAAGAGUAAAAUUCAACCACAUCCAUGUAAAUAACAUUGAUACUAGUGUUGGGAAGUAAAUAUAAAAACAUUUUAAAAUAGAAUAACUUAGAAACUGUAUUGCAUUGUUUAGUAUGAAAAUAAUAGGCUUUCUAGUCAGUACUGUUAAAGAACGUAUUUAAUCCAGCACAGAAUUGGCUAUGAAACCGUCCACUCUACCAUGGGAAUGCUUAGCUCAGUAUCUGGUAGGUUGCCAGCCAUUUAAAAUGUUUUUGUGUUGGUUUAAUGAUUGUUCCCAUGAGCACUGAUGGUAAGGGUUGACAUUAAUUAAAAUACUAAGUCAUCAGAGCUUGCAUUGUGGGGAGAGGGAGAAUGGGCUGGAUCCAAUUGUCUUCAAGGUUUCUUUGGCCUUCCACAUCUUUCUCUUAGAUGCACCAUACAUGCCAAGUAUCCUCUUAGCUGAGGUAUAACAAUGUAAACACACUGUCUCUGCAAAUAUAAAGUAAUCUUUUUAGGUUUUCCACACACUCUCAUUUAACUGAUUAGAGGACACUCAUUAAAAUCAGCUAAUCAUGUAAUGUGGCUGUGUUCUGAAUGCUAAACAAAAUGCCUAAAUGAAAGAGGAUUUUAAAACAUUGUCUGCCUCUCUUAAUUUAUUUCUACUGUAUACUCAAUGGCGUACAAUACAGUAGGAAUGCUGGGCCCUAUCCUCAUUAACCUCAAAACUCAUUAUCUCAUAUAAAAACCAGCCCUUUACAUAGAGUGUGUUGGAAAAGGUACGAAGAAAAAGGAUAUGAAAGACAAUGUGUUUGGGUACAGGCUCUUGAAACACUACAAAGGAUUUCACUUAGAGCUGUGACACUAAUAUAGAACAGCACAAAAUUGCAAGAUGCAUUGCUAAAAUAAUACUCACUGAAUUUGGAUAGCUCUCCUGAUGUCACUCAUUCAUUUCAUUAACUAUCCAAGAUCCAGAUCUUCAAAGGCAAACAAACAGGAGUAAGUCGCUAAAUACCUGGACUCCUCAAAAGGCCAUAGGCAGGGGUUGAGGCUGAGCUUUUCUGCCACCACCCUAGGAUAGAUUCAGCAGCCCCAAGGGCUCAUCUCACAGGCAAGGGCUUACUGCUGCAGGGACUGUGAGUGUACGGGGGUAAGUUCAUAUUACACAUAAUAUGUUCAACAGUCUGACAGUGAUGAGCUCUGUGGAGCAAUGUCAAAAAUCAAAGCAAGCAAGCCCCCAUAAACGCAAAGCGAUGUUUUUCAUGUAAGCAACGUACAGCAUAAAGCAGUACUGAUGCAAAAGAUGGAGCAACCCUUUCUACUUCAAUGUCUGUUACAUUGGAUCAGAAUUCAGGCUGUCCUGUGACUUUGGGUCUCCUCCCUGCAUCAGGGGAAAAGCAAAACCUCAAAGAAUUGCCUAAAACUACUUUCCCAGCUCAUCCAUGGGCACAAGGGAUGGGGCUCCCAGUGCUUCCCUGUGACUGUGUAGGUGCUGUGUAGUACAAGCCCUCACCUCUGAAUGCCUGCAACGCAACCACCCUUGCUUUGGCAAGCGCAGACAUCACCCAGCCAAGGCCCCUUCACCUGACCCAGGCACCUCCGUGCCACCUUGGUGUCUGGUGGCAAGCAGGGGUUGAAGAUUUCCGCGAUGGCAAACCCUGCAGGAUGGGAACACUCUUUGGCUUUUGGGUGUGAAACUUCUCCAGUCUCCUCAUGUAGGACUACGAGGUCUGAGAGUCCUUCAUGAGCUUGUCCACACAACGUGGAAGAGCGAGAGCAGCUGAGGAGGCCCUUGCCCGUGCACAUGAGGGCAGGAGGCCUAACAUCCCCCUGGGGCUGGUCUUCUGGGGAGCCAUCUAUGAAGACAAGGGAAGCUUGUCUUUGGAGAAGGGGAAAUAGCUUUGCUUUCUUUCCAAUUCACUUUUUAUAUUAAACCCCAACCCCUUCCCCACCACACAUUUUCGUCGAAGGCGGCUGCGAAGAGGAGCAGGAGAUGGGGCCUGCUGCGUUUACAACAGGCCAGGGCCCCAUCAGUGGGUCGGGGCCCCAUCGGUGGGUCGGGGCUGGGGGGCUCGGGCUUUGUGGCCACCGGCGGCCCCGUCGUGGUCGGAAGCGUCGGGGUAAUCCGGGGAGCCAUCCGCAGCGAGUGGGUGGUCUGCGGGACGGAGGCGCGGGCUCUCCCCGCGGCCCCGGCCGCCGGCCUGAGCCAGCUCCUGCAGCUGGGCCGAAGGCGGCCCGCAGACCGCUCUCGGCACAUUUCUUCAUUUCUCACUUGAGUGCCCUUCUUUAGUUCCCUUUCAACUGCCCACUUUAUAUCGGCUUCAUUACACCACCGCUCCAUUUGUAAUGUAAAUCGGGAAACUCAGGGAAGUUUUUCUUUUGGCCUUGUCUACGGAAGAAUACCGAGAGGUAUUCAAAACGUAUUAACACAAAUCAAUGGCACCAAUAAAAGCAAAAUCUCCUUAGCA